rnacentral:rRNA from 1 species
AUACGGAGGGGGCUAGCGUUGUUCGGAAUUACUGGGCGUAAAGCGUACGUAGGCGGACUGAUCAGUUGGGGGUGAAAUCCCAGGGCUUAACCCUGGAACUGUCUUCAAUACUGUCAGUCUUGAGUUUGGGAGAGGUGAGUGGAAUUCCUAGUGUAGAGGUGAAAUUCAUAGAUAUUAGGAGGAACACCAGUGGCGAAGGCGGCUCACUGGCCCAUUACUGACGCUGAGGUACGAAAGCGUGGGGAGCAAACAGGAUUAGAAACCCUAGUAGUCC